rnacentral:rRNA from 1 species
GGAUGUCAAGUUGGAAGUGAAAUCCUAUGGCUUAACCAUAGAACUGCUUCCAAAACUGGCAACCUAGAGUGAGGGAGAGGCAGAUGGAACUAGUGGUGUAGGGGUAAAAUCCGUAGAUAUCACUAAGAAUACCGAUUGCGAAGGCGAUCUGCUGGAACUCUACUGACGCUGAGGCAUGAAAGCGUGGGGAGCAAACAGGAUUAGAUACCCUGGUAGUCCACGCCCUAAACGAUGUACACUAGUUGUUGGAGUGCUAGUCACUUCAGUAAUGCAGCUAACGCAUUAAGUGUACCGCCUGGGGAGUACGGCCGCAAGAUUAAAACUCAAAGGAAUAGACGGGGACCCGCACAAGCGGUGGAGCAUUUGGUUUAAUUCGAAGAUACACGAAGAACCUUACCUAGCCUUGAUAUCCUUGGAAUCUCUCAGAGAUGAGAGAGUGCUAGUUUACUAGAGCCAAGUGACAGGUGCUGCACGGCUGUCGUCAGCUCGUGUCGUGAGAUGUUGGGUUAAGUCCCGCAACGAGCGCAACCCUCGUCCUUAGUUGCUAACAGUUCGGCUGAGCACUCUAAGGAGACUGCCUUCGUAAGGAGGAGGAAGGUGAGGACGACGUCAAGUCAUCAUGGCCCUUAUGGCUAGGGCUACACACGUGCUACAAUGGGGGGGACAAUAAGAUGCAAUACCGC